GCAUCAGCGCUCUGACCCCACCCUGCAUCAGAGCUGUGUCCCUGCCCCCCCACCCUGCAUCAGAGCUGUGUCCCGGCUCCCCCACCUCUGAAAUGCUUGAAAAGCAUUGGAAUUCUUUUUUUCUUUCCUUUCUUCAAAAUGACAAGAGCAGAAGCAGUCUGCUGUACAAAAUGUUUCUCACUGGAUGGAAGAAACUAAAACAACUAAAAAGAAAAGAAAGGAAGCAAAGACUAUGGAUUUAUUUCAGUGUCUGCACCACCUGCCACAGUCCCUUUCAGGUUGAGAAGGAAACAAGCAUGUCUUUCUAUGAUGAAGGACAGAACAUGUCUACGCCUUUUUUCUCACCAUGCCCCUCCACUCCCUGGAUGAGAAAACUCCCACAAUGCCCUGCAUACCUCUAUUACACAAAAUGAAGAUAUAUUGAGAAUUUAAACUCAGUCACCCCUUAAUUAGCAAUAUGAAAUAAAUGACACUAAAACAGUAGAGGAAUGUAACAAAGAUGAUUAACCUAUUUUUAUUUCAGUUUUUAUAUUAAUGUACUGUGCAGUGGGUGUGGCCAAAUGUCUUCAAAGUGCUACCAGUAAAUAUAUUCAUUUUUGCUUUAUUUUAUGUGAAGGGAAGAUCCAUUUUCAGCCUUUUUCAGUGAAGAGACUGAAUUGCUGUUAUUGUGCAUUACCAACAGGAGGCAGUACACUUUUACAGAAGAAUGCAGUGCUUCAUGGUUUCAUCUCGAUGGUGGGGCACAUGGGAACCCCCCCCCCCCCCCCCCGCCCACCACCCUGGUAGAAAGGAACCUUGAUUGGGGGGGAGGGGGGUCACUGUGUAAGGACAGUUUAAAAUGUGACUCCUAUGUGCUUAAAAAUACUGGAAUAUUUGAAAAUGAAAACAUCAUGGACUUUUUAAUUUUAUUUUCUCUGCACCAGAUGCCAGGCAGGCCGCUUGUUGUAUUAAGUGUACCAGGUCCCGCCAGGUCCUGCUGAUCUCUCAGCCACUUCAUUUCCUUUAGAUUUUCUUUUCUGUUUUUUACCCUUCAAGGACCUGCCUGGAAUAUGCAAGGACUGCAGGGAGAGAUGGUGAACUAGAAUGUACUGUACAAUGCAUUUUAUUUAGUUUAUUAUGGAAACAUUCUAACAGAACAUCAUGUAUUUUUGUCAUAUGCAUUUGACUAGCAUAUGAUAUAGACAUUAACUGUAUAUUCAGUUUUUAUUUUUCUUGUUUUAUUGAAUUGUUUUACAUUUUUAUGAAUUUAGGUACAUAUAACUUAUGUCAUUUAUUUAUGGUCUUUUAUAUCUAGUUUGUAAAAUAAUAGUGAAAUGCAGAAAAUGAAGUACCGAGGAGCAUUCUUAUUAAAUUAGAAACUGUGAAAAUAUUUGCCCUCAUCCCUGCUUUUUAUGAUGUGUUUAAAAGUCAUAAAUUUAACACAUUAAAAAAUUGAGACUUG